GGAUGACACUCAGUCCUGAUAGCUCUAGUCCUUACAAGAACUUUCCCCGUUGAAUCCUCCACACCGGAACAGUGAUAAAAAAGUAGCCCUUUCUCCUCCCAGUAACCAGACUACACAUAGUGCCUGGAGUUCAAAUUGGAAUACGUUUAAUCUGGCCAGAUAGCCUGCUUUUAUACAUUUCUGAACACAGACAAGCACGCCCAUGACACUCCCACAGAAAACAGGAUAAUCCCUCCCUUAUGUUUGGAAAAUAAUUGAGUAAGGAACUGUACUAAACUCAAUUAUCUCCAGGCACAAAAAACACACAUUUCACAAACACCCCAAAAGUACCUUAAAAAUACAUAAAACCCCCACAAAAGUCAUAUCCCCUGAUAGCCCCGAUCUGGGUGACCAACAUAUCUAAAAAUCACCCACAUCGGUUCAGGGGUUUGGGAAUUUCCUGGAAGUCUUAAUUUGACUGACCGCACACGAGGCUCCUG